UGUAUAACCUGCAUUCGGGGUCCCCUCCUGACUAGCAGGGGGGCACCACGCUCGAGCGUAAUAAACUUAGUAUAUUUGGGAACUCUGCAGUUGUGGACUCUGUUUGUGUGCCUCAGCCUAGACUGGAACUGUGCGUGACCUGUUAGGUAUAAUUUGUAGCAGUUCCUGUGCAUGACCUAUCAGGUAUAAUUCGUAACAGUUUUUGUGCGUGACCUAUCAGGUAUAAUUCACAACAGUUUUUGGCGACCCAGAUGGGACGCUAGUCUCGCCCCGACGAGCGAGACCACACUCCUCCUCUCGGACAGCUCCAGCCGGCACAGGAAAAUCAGAGGAAACUGAUGCCAGCUGAAAAGCAAUUCAACAUAUCAUGAAUUUACUGGCACAAUAGGAAUUAUGUUCUGUGUUCUAUGUUCUGUCUUAUGUUUGUCUUGUGGCCAGAAUUACUGGGUCUAAUUUUUCAUAGGACAGUUUAAUUUAAAACUAAAUAGAAGGGUUAAAUCAAAAUGCAGAUACUUGUUUUAUUCAACUUGGAAUACAAAAUGUUUGGAUAAUAUCAGGAAAAUGUGAUAUACUAAAGUUUAAUAUAUUUGCUUAAGUAAAAAAAAUAAAUUUCAUUGGCCAGAUCUUUUAAUUGAAAAAAUUGUUGUUAAAAUUCACACACCAACAGUUUUUGGAAGCAAGGACAUGAAAGGUUAACCCACUCCCCAUAUUACACAUGGAAUCCUUCUGGCUACCUCAAAUUUCUAGCCAGAAGGCUGGGGAGGGAGGAAAGCUAUUGGAUACCAGAGAUUGUACCAAGUGGACUCCUCAAAAGUGGGUGUGCUUGUCCUGGCUUGUUGCUCCAAAGCUCUGUAAUAAAAUCAUUUUACAAGAAGGGUGUAUGUGGCAUACAUUAAAUAAUAAGACUAAAGUGCUGUAUAAUGGGCAAUGUAUAUGUGUUCAUUUUUGAACAAAGGUGUGUGAGUAGAAAGUGAACGUUUCCUUUACAGGUUAAUAGAAACCAAGAAGGGAAGAAGAAAAAGAAUGGAGGACAAGUUAAUUCAACGCUGUAGCUGGCAGGCUCGGUCCAAAGAUAAGACACUGGUCUGCCCAAGGACACUACUCACAGCUAGGAUUUGGCUGACAGCCAAGAAAGAGGGGGGCUUGAAUGUGUCCAAGCAGCUGUGAGAUCUGGAAAACACUGCCAGACAUUAAUGAAAUGUGUUAGGUCUCUGUAUUUACAGGUAAAAGAAGUCCUGCUCCAAGGAUCCUGAGCAAACCUGCCAUUUGUUAAAAACUGGGUCUACAUAAAGGUCCAUCAAUGAAAGACUACCCUGGCCCCAUGCUGGAAAGGCCCUUAUUAAGUCCUGCUAACUACCAACACCGCUGUGAAGUACCAAGGACUGACUGCCUGGACCCAUGCUUCUUAUUGCAAAAAGACCCCUCCACCUCGAGAUGACUUCACUUCGACUACUGAUCAGCCUAUCCCUCCUUCUGAGUUUUUUCUUUCCUCCUUUUGGACAGCAGGGGAAAGGACAAGGUGAAGUGCUAGUAACCUCUCCCUUGUCCACUGACAGAGCUAACCUGCAUUCAGUAUUUGCUAAAGAAACCAAAGCUCUACAGGGUGACGUGCUAGUAACCUCUCCCCUGUAUAAUGCAAAAUCACGACUGUUCCAAAA